rnacentral:rRNA from 1 species
UACAGAGGGUGCAAGCGUUAAUCGGAAUUACUGGGCGUAAAGCGUGCGUAGGCGGAUAAUUAAGUCAGAUGUGAAAGCCCCGGGCUCAACCUGGGAAUGGCAUCUGAAACUGGUCAUCUAGAGUAUGGUAGAGGAUAGUGGAAUUUCCGGUGUAGCGGUGAAAUGCGUAGAUAUCGGAAGGAACACCAGUGGCGAAGGCGACUAUCUGGGCCAAUACUGACGCUGAGGUACGAAAGCGUGGGUAGCGAACAGG